CCGGUGUCUCCUUCCUCGACUGACUGACAACCUGUCUACAACGUUCCUCUUCCGGUGUCUCCUUCCUCGACUGACUGACAACCUGUCUACAACGUUCCUCUUCCGGUGUCUCCUUCCUCGACUGACUGACAACCUGUCUACAACGUUCGUCUUUCUGUGUCUCAUUCAAAACAAACCCGUUUCAGGAAAUCUAAAAAAAAUAUUUAAAAAAUGUGUUUGAUCUCACUGUUGGGCAACUGUAAUAGAUAUUCAGCCUCGAAACAAAUAGUAACCAGGAAGUAUCUGUGGUGGUUUAUCAAUGGUCACUCUCUUAAGUCAUGUCCUGCCGCCAUUGUUACAAGGAGUUUAUUAGCAUCGUGACGUGUGUGACGGCAUUUACACUCCAUCAAUGACAACUUCCUGAUUUACUGCAUUAGACCAUCUCAAGGAAAUGGAUUGGUCGAAACGUAAAGUGCUUUAGACAGGCGUGUUUAAAGUGACUACGAGUGUGUAGGUCUACGGCAAACAACAUGACAUGAGGAGACUGGCGUGGUUUGACAUGAUUAGACUAUGGCACAUCUACAUUGUCAUAUGGCUGGGUUACUGUAUUCCAACAGGGAUGGGUUACUGUAUUCUAACACGGCUGGGUUACUGUAUUCUAACACGGAUGGGUUACUGUAUUCUAACACGGAUGGGUUACUGUAUUCUAACACGGCUGGGUUACUGUAUUCCUACAUGGCUGGGUUACUGUAUUCUAACACAGCUGGGUUACUGUAUUCUAACACGGAUGUUACUGUAUUCCAACACAGCUGGGUUACUGUAUUCUAACACGGAUGGGUUACUGUAUUCUAACACAGCUGGGUUACUGUAUUCCAACAUGGCUGGGUUACUGUAUUCUAACACAGCUGGGUUACUGUAUUUAAUAUAGCUGGGUUACUGUAUUCUAAUAUGGCUGGGUUACUGUAUUCUAACACGGCUGGGUUACUGUAUUCUAACACGGCUGGGUUACUGUAUUCUAAUAUGGAUGGGUUACUGUAUUCUAACACAUCUGUAUUCCAACAUGGCUGGGUUACUGUAUUCUAACACGGAUGGGUUACUGUAUUCCAACACAGCUGGGUUACUGUAUUCUAACACGGAUGGGUUACUGUAUUCCUACAUGGCUGGGUUACUGUAUUCCAACAUGGCUGGGUUACUGUAUUCUAACACGGCGUGGUUACUGUAUUCUAAUAUGGCUGGGUUACUGUAUUCUAAUAUGGCACAUUACUGUAUUGUAAUAUGGCUGGGUUACUGUAUUCUAACAAGGCUGGGUUACUGUAUUCACACACGGCUGGGUUACUGUAUUCCUACAUGGCUGGGUUACUGUAUUCUAACAAGGCUGGGUUACUGUAUUCACACACGGCUGGGUUACUGUAUUCCUACAUGGCUGGGUUACUGUAUUCCAACAUGGCUGGGUUACUGUAUUCUAACACGGAUGGGUUACUGUAUUCUAACACGGAUGGGUUACUGUAUUCUAACACGGAUGGGUUACUGUAUUCUAACACGGCUGGGUUACUGUAUUCCUACAUGGCUGGGUUACUGUAUUCUAACAUGGCUGGGUUCCUGUAUUCUAAUAUGGCUGGGUUACUGUAUUCUAAUAUGGCUGGGUUACUGUAUUCUAAUAUGGCUGGGUUACUGUAUUCCAACACGGAUGGGUUACUGUAUUCCAACAUGGCUGGGUUACUGUAUUCUAACAUGGCUGGGUUACUGUAUUCCAACAUGGCUGGGUUACUGUAUUCCAACAUGGCUGGGUUACUGUAUUCUAACAUGGCUGGGUUACUGUAUUCUAACAUGGCUGGGUUACUGUAUUCCAACAUGGCUGGGUUACUGUAUUCUAACAUGGCUGGGUUACUGUAUUCCAACAUGGCUGGGUUACUGUAUUCUAACAUGGCUGGGUUACUGUAUUCCUACAUGGCUGGGUUACUGUAUUCCUACAUGGCUGGGUUACUGUAUUCCUACAUGGCUGGGUUACUGUAUUCCUACAUGGCUGGGUUACUGUUUUCUAAUAUGGCUGGGUUACUGUAUUCCUACAUGGCUGGGUUACUGUAUUCCAACAUGGCUGGGUUACUGUAUUCCAACAUGGCUGGGUUACUGUAUUCCAACAUGGCUGGGUUACUGUAUUCCACUGUCUCCUGUCCUGUCAGUCUAUACUAUCAGUAUUGCAGAGAAGAUGACAGUGUUGAUGAGAAACAGGGAGGAAGAGAGAGAGAAAUAGAAUGGGGAGGAAGGGAUAUUGGUUUCCCCUAUGACCCCCAACCUAGGGUGCUGUUUUCAAUGUGCAUGCUAGCCGUGUGCGUGCGCACGUUUGUAAGUUUGUGGAAGACCAGCAUCCCUGUGUGAUUAUGGUUUGGUCAGGUACAUUUACAUUUGUAUUCAACCUUUAUUUAACAAGGCAAGUCAGUUAAGAACAAAUUAUUAUUUACAAUGACGGCCUAGGAACAGUGGGUUAACUGGUCUAGGAACAGUGGGUUAACUGGUCUAGGAACAGUGGGUUAACUGGUCUAGGAACAGUGGGUUAACUGGUCUAGGAACAGUGGGUUAACUGGUCU
ensembl:lncRNA